rnacentral:rRNA from 1 species
AAUUUCGAUUAUAAUAACGGCUAUUUAAAUGAUCCAUGAAACGAUAAGUUUAUUUUUUCAAAAAUUAAUUUAAUCGUACCGAUAACCGCAUCAGAUCUCCAAGGUGAGUAGCUUCUGGCCAUUGAGUAAUGGUAAUUUAGGGAAUUCGGCCAAUUAGAGCUGUAACUUCGGGAUAAAGCUUGGCUCUGAUGGAAAUCAGAACCGAUAGUUACAAGGAGAGCCCAACUGUUUAAUAAAAACUUAGUGUCGCGUCAUACCUUUAUAAGUAAUAAACGUGACAUGAAUCCUGCUCAGUGCUGUGUUUGUUAAACUGGAUUAAUCCAUUUAAGCGCCGGUAAAUAGCUGGGGUAACUAUGACUCUUAUCAAAGUAGCGAAAUACCUCGUCACUUAAUUAGUGACCUGCAUGAACGGAGCUAUGAGGUUCUCACUGUCCCAAAUUAUCACUCAGCGAACCAACAGUUGUGGGAACGGGCACAAAUUAUCCAGCGGGGAAAGAAGACCCUGUAGAGCUUCACUUUGGUCUAAUCUUGUAUAGUUUCGUUAGGGGUGCAGUCUAGGUGGGAGAUUUUUAAUCAAAUAUGAGAAACCACUACCCUUUCUGGAAUUAUACUUACUAAAAUUCUUUUAUAAAUUUUAGGAUCGGAUUAGAUAGAAAGUUUGGCUGGGGCGGCACACCUUCGAAAAAGCAGCGAAGGUGUCCUAAGUUAAGCUCAGUAAGGACAGAAAUCUUACGUUGAGGAUAAGGCCAAAAGCUUAAUUUACUGUGCCUUUUUGUACUAGGAUCAGUUUGGAAACAAAGGCCUAACGAUCCCUAAUUAGUCUUAGGUGUGUAAGACUUGGGGUGACAGACAAGUUACCUCCGGGACAACUGGCUUGUGGCUGCUAAGAGAUCAAAUCAACGCAGCUUUUUGAUUCUUCGAUGUCGGCUCUUCCUAUCCUAGUGAUGUACAAGUCACUAAGGGUUGGAUUGUUCACCCGUAUUAGGGAUCGUGAGCUGGGUUUAGACCGUCGUGAGCCAGGUUUGUUUUAUCCUACUGGAUAUAAUUUAGCAUCUUGAUAGUAGUUUGAUUUAGUACGAGAGGAACUGUUGAAUAUGGUCUCUGGUUUGGGAAUUUUAUGAAAAUAAAAGUUCCAAAGCUACGCCGUCUGAGAUAAUGGCUGUCUCUUAUACACAUCUCCGAGCCCACGAGACCGAGGCUGAUCU